rnacentral:rRNA from 1 species
GCCUACAACUGUACCACUCUGAAUGCACCUGAUCUUGGAAGCUAAGCAGGGUUGGGCUUGGUUAGUACUUGGAUGAGAGAAAACCUGGGAAAACCAGGUGCUGUAGGCU